rnacentral:rRNA from 1 species
CACGUAGGGCGCAAGCGUUGUCCGGAUUUAUUGGGCGUAAAGGGUCCGUAGGCGGCUUGGAAAGUCAGAUGUGAAAGCCCACAGCUCAACUGUGGAACUGCAUUUGAAACUUCCAGGCUAGAGUGUGAGAGGGGUAAGGGGAAUUCCCGGUGUAAGGGUGAAAUCUGCAGAGAUCGGGAGGAACACCAGUCGCGAAGGCGCCUUACUGGCUCACUACUGACGCUCAGGGACGAAAGCUAGGGGAGCAAACGGG